UGGGGAAUCUUCCGCAAUGGACGAAAGUCUGACGGAGCAACGCCGCGUGAGUGAAGAAGGUUUUCGGAUCGUAAAACUCUGUCUUUUGGGGCGAACGUGAGUAUGGUGAACAAUCAUAGUCAGUGACGGUACCAAAGGAGGAAGCCACGGCUAACUACGUGCCAGCAGCCGCGGUAAUACGUAGGUGGCAAGCGUUGUCCGGAAUUAUUGGGCGUAAAGAGCGCGUAGGCGGGAUAGUCAGUCUGUUGUAAAAGUGCGGGGCUCAACCCCGUGAUGGCAAUGGAAACAGCUAUUCUUGAGUGCAGGAGAGGAAAGUGGAAUUCCCAGUGUAGCGGUGAAAUGCGUAGAUAUUGGGAGGAACACCAGUGGCGAAGGCGACUUUCUGGACUGUGUCUGACGCUGAGGCGCGAAAGCCAGGGGAGCGAACGGGAUUAGAUACCCCGGUAGUCCUGGCCGUAAACGAUGGGUACUAGGUGUGGGAGGUAUCGACCCCUUCCGUGCCGGAGUUAACGCAAUAAGUACCCCCGCCUGGGGAGUACGGUCGCAAGACUGAAACUCAAAGGAAUUGACGGGGUCAUAGCUGUUUCCU
rnacentral:rRNA from 1 species